AAACUGACACAAAACUCCACCUUUCUGGAAACAACGAUGGGCUCUGUGGAGCCCAGCACGAUCCACUUCUAUGGUCUCUCGAUCGUGCACGUGCGAGUUCUUGUCCGACACGUGUGAUUUGGUCGACUAAUACAAACUCAAAAAGAUCUACCCGCCGUUCAUUCUUCUGCUGCCGACUAAAAACCCUUCUCCUCUCGUCGCCUCAAACCCUUUGCUUUUCGUUCUUUAUUCACGUCGUGGACGGUGCCGUGAACGGCACCUCUGCCGACGUCGAGCCUGAGGCCGAGGCACCCUCCUACCCCGCCGACGCGGAGCCCAAGCCCGAGAGGAACGCCGCCUCCGUCGAGUAGGAUCCGACCGAUCAGGAACUGGCUGUGAAGGCGGAGGACGAGGAUCUAUCCACCGAGGCGAUCCCGCCGGCGAACGGCAGUGGUGCAGAGGUCAAGGAGUGGCCGGGGUGGCCUGGGUACAACGUGUUCGGACUCAUCGUGUCCUUGCUGAAGGCGAAGAGCAUCAUCGGCCGAAAAGGGAGGAGCUUAUCAAGAAGCUCUGCGAGGAGACAAGGACUUGCGUAUGAAUCUUUGAUGGGCCCAUCGGCGUCCAUCGCAUGGUGCGGUUCUCGAGAUUUAAGAAGUAGGUGAAAUUAAUUGGAUACAAGCUCUUUUAUUGCCAAAAAGCAAAAGCCUAUUGGCAAUCUGAUUCAGCUGAUGAAUUGCUCUUGGUAACCAAAUGCUCAGUGAAGUUCCUCUAUGCACCUUGCCUUCCUGUUCUCUACUCCGGGUUUAUCCCACAGGACAGGCAUAUGUGAUGGUUCCAUUGUAGCUUGCAGUCUUACAGUAUCUGGAGAUUCAAAGAAGUCUUUUGGAACUUUCAGAUGUAAACUGGUCGAAUUGACUUGUAGUCCAAUUAUUGCCAUGUUAUUUCUGCUUGCUGCUGACCUGCAAAAUGUUGCUCACUUGAGGAUCGCCAGCUAAGGCAGUGGUUUUCUUUGGGAAGUAUGGACUGCCAUAAUAGAAUUGUUAACUGAGAUCAGAAAUAUUGAAUCUCUAGCAGUUCAUCAACUGUACCAUCCAGGUUUAUUGGAAGUCAGAAUUUUCACAAAAUGCACAGAGCUUGAUCUCAUACGGGAGAAUUGACUGUCAUCCAGGUGCUGUGGAAUGGAAAUGCAUCAGUUGUGUUUGUACAGCACAAAAGAGUGUAAUGUCUUACAAUUUUCAGUCUGUUGAACAAAUGUUGUUGGGAGCAAAGUUAAAGUUGGAAGCACAAUGCCUGCAUAAAUGGUUUUCUGUUGGCUAUUGGGAUCUUGUCUUUGUCAAAAUCUAGAAAAAGAAGAAAUAUUAUGAUUUCAAUUACACAUCAUGAUUGUAAUGACCUACCUCAUGGUUUUGGUUGACAAGGUUGCAAACUUGGUAAUGAGACAAUUCAUUUAAAUAGUGAACAUUCCUGCCUCAAGCAGAAUCCAGUAUGCGUAGGCCAGGUAGCAUUUGAUGUCCCAUUAUUUGACGUCCAAGCAUCAAGCACAGCUGCGAGACUUGUAAGCUUGGCCUUCACACUGACACAACAGUUUGAGUGCACUGUGAUCACUUGACCAAAAUCCUUGCUGUUUUGACAGAAUCCAGUGAAGCAUGUGGUGUCUAGGUACCUCACUUUCAACCCCAGCCACCUGAAAACACCUGCCCUCUUCAUCCUCAGCAGCACCUCUUGAUCAUUCAUGCAUGUGAAGUUGUGUUUUGAUGCAUUCCAAUCAUCAAACAGUGCUGUAGUUUUGUUGUUUGGGGUCACAAAGUAGAAGCCAGUGUUGAAGAAGUUGGAAUCAUCAAAUGUCUGCCAUUGUAGAAGUUACUACUCAUCUGCAGGGAUGACUUGUGAGGCAUAUUCUUGCUUACUUGGAAGAUGAAGCUGUAUCCGCACUUGAGGAUGUCGCCAAGGAAGAGUGUUCUUCUCCACAUCAUUUCAAUGAAGUCAUCAGACAUGUAAAACACCUCCUCAGAGAAAUCAACACCUUCCAUCACCAGCUUGUAGCAGUUGAGUCCCAGAGCGCAGCACUGGUUGAAGGAUGUUUGAUCGACUACAACGAAGAGGAGGUGUUUGAUCAAGAAUUAUGUGCAUUCCCCUUCUCGAAAACUUUGCAGGAAGAGGUUGAGCAUGCCAUUUUGCUCCAUAUACGCCUUGUUCAGUAUUGCGAUGAUCGUAGUCUUGUUCGUCACGGAAACUCUCACCAGAGCUGCUUCUAGUUUGUCUUUUGGUGAAUCAGGUGAAAAAAAGCUGUUGAUCCCUCAGGCAUCCACAAGCAGGUGUAAAUGACUCCCAAAACAAGAAAAGAGCUGAUGACGAGUGCCAUGGCACAGCCGGACAUAUUAUUGGAGAGUCUGAUGAUGUAGAAUGUGUCAAGGAGACACCUGCAGAUCCGCUUGAAGUGGUGUAGAAUAUGGCUUCUCGCAAGAGAUAAUGAGAGUAGCUAUCGAAAUCUGAUUCUACACAACUGUUCUUUCUUUAUAUGAAGUUCAGGCUGUAACCAAGCAUGGAAGCUUGAUCCCGACACAACAUGGAUUGAAGGAAUCCAACUCUUAGAUUUGCUUUGGUCAACAACACGUAUGUGAAGCAUGUAGGAGACUCUUCACCUUCGCUUUGUAGAAUAGUCUCUCUGACCAACAAUGCAAAUACUGGGUAUUUUAUUUGGAA